UAGAGAGUACAUGUACCAGCAAGAAAGGCACCUGCAGGACAUUGCAGUGUUCAGCUAAUGAGCUGGAGAUACCACAAGGCUGUACAGGUGACGGGUGCUGGUGCUGCGCCCCUAAAAGUAUAGGCUGUCGACCUGAGAGUGUAUGUACCACUAAGAAAGGAACCUGCAAAUUAUCACAGUGUUCAGCUGAUGAGCUGGAGAUCCCACAAGGUUGUACAGGUGACGGGUGUAGGUGCUGCGCCCCUAAAAGUCCAGUGUGUCAGCCAGAGAGUACAUGUACCAGCAAGAAAGGCACUUGCAAGACAUCGCAGUGUUCAGCUGAUGAGCUGGAGAUCCCACAAGGCUGUACAGGCGACAGUUGUAGGUGCUGCGCCCCUAAAAGUCCAG